AGCUCAUAACUAAUAAGCUCAUAACACUCAAAUGUCGUUUUGUAGUUGAGCAAACUAUAAAGUAUCGAGCUCUGUUGGCUUUUAUGCAACUUUAAUUGAAUAGGGCUCAAUAUUUUUUAGCUAAUUUGUUUGGAACGCUCAAAAAGUUUAAGAAGCAUAUAUUAGUGACGUUCUGGUGGGUGGAGUCUUGUCGCUCCCUCAGGAAAGCCGAGUCAGCCAUCUUGAAUUUACCUUGAUGCGGGGAAGAUUUGGCCAGCCCGUGUGGAUUAAGAGUCCCCAACUUCAACCCACCACGACCACCACCUUAAUUUUUUUCAUCAACUGCCCUAAAUUUGGUAAGUCUAACGUGUUUUUGUUUUGUUUAAAUUUAAUUUCGAUAAACAGUCUUUUUAUUCUUUACUGGAAAUAUAUUCGUACUUUGUGCACAGUGAAUGUUUGUUAUAAAUAAAUUUGAAUCCAAGUAAUUGUAAUUUUAGAAGUUUUCGAAUGUGACAAAUACGUAAUCUUAUUUCAAAUUACAACAGUGUAACGUUUUGGCGGUUUUCCGUGGGGGACAACAUUUCCCAUAAUGCAUUGUAUUCUUGCCCGGGAAGUUGAUGGUGGCAGUUCUAGCUCCAUGCGUUUGAACUUUCUACUAAAACUUUCUACUGUCCGUUUCUACCGGUUGUCAUAUUCGCCGGUAAUGCACGUGCGUAUUUUUAGAGGGGUAUUCCACUAAGCGAGCUCUACAAGUCAAGGCUGGGCAGUGGGUCCAUGAAUAAACUGCCUCACUCCUGCAGGUGUCUUUCCAUACUUCCCAUCGUUCCAAGAACCAAAAGAUGGCUGCUGCCCAGAAGCAUGUGCUGUGUGUGUAUGUUGAACGAGACACUGCGCUGAAACUUACUCUACUUGAGCGACCAAAGUCAGUGGAGGAGCUGAAAGAAGUAAUUUAAGAGAGGUUCAAGCCAAGACUGAAUGGGGACUUUAGCCUUCACUAUGUCCUCAUGGACACAACCUAUGCACUAUGUCGCCAAGAAAUUGUUGGAGCUCCACGAGUGAGAGACGUCGUGGACAGAUGGCCAGUCCUACUUAUGGAGUCACAGGUGGUUGCAGAGUCCCACCGAAUCAACAGUGUUAACCUGCACACUUAAUUCUACAAGGAGCUGGACAGACACACGCCUAGACUCAUCACUUUGUUCCGAGACAAGGCCAUCAAGACUGGCAAGAUUGCAGAGGAGCUAGCAAAGCUCAUGAGAAUUUAUGACAUUCAGGAACAGCGUGAUGUAAAUACAAGACGGGCCCUCGUCCUUCGUGCACUUCCUGUGUACCUGCGUGAAGAUGCCUCCACGUUAUUCAGGACUUGUGAUUCAGCAGAUGGUCCAGACCUCA